rnacentral:misc_RNA from 1 species
GAAAUGCGAUAAGUAGUGUGAAUUGCAGAAUUCAGUGAAUCAUCGAAUCUUUGAACGCACAUUGCGCCCCUCGGUAUUCCGUGGGGCAUGCCUGUUCGAGCGUCAUCUACACCCUCAAGCUCUGCUUGGUGUUGGGCGUCUGUCCCGCCUCCGCGCGCGGACUCGCCCCAAAUGCAUUGGCAGCGGUUCCUUGCCCCCCUCUUUGCGCAGCACAUUGCCAUUCGAGGCGGCGGCGGCCCGCGUCCAACAAGCUCAACCCCCCCGUCUUUGACCUCGGAUCAGGUAGGGAUACCCGCUGAACUUAAG